rnacentral:rRNA from 1 species
UACGUAGGGUGCGAGCGUUGUCCGGAAUUAUUGGGCGUAAAGAGCUUGUAGGCGGUUUGUCGCGUCUGCCGUGAAAUUUCGGGGCUCAACCCCGAACUUGCGGUGGGUACGGGCAGACUAGAGUGUGGUAGGGGAGACUGGAAUUCCUGGUGUAGCGGUGAAAUGCGCAGAUAUCAGGAGGAACACCGGUGGCGAAGGCGGGUCUCUGGGCAACAACUGACGCUGAGGAGCGAAAGCGUGGGGAGCAAACAGG